AUUGAACGCUGGCGGCAGGCCUAACACAUGCAAGUCGAACGAGUGGCGGACGGGUGAGUAAUGUCUGGGAAUCUGCCUGGUAGAGGGGGAUAACGUCUGGAAACGGGCGCUAAUACCGCAUACUAUCAGAUGAGCCCAGGUCGGAUUAGCUAGUUGGUGGGGUAACGGCUGACCAAGGCGACGAUCCGUAGCUGGUCUGAGAGGAUGAUCAGCCACACUGGAACUGAGACACGGUCCAGACUCCUACGGGAGGCAGCAGUGGGGAAUAUUGCACAAUGGGCGCAAGCCUGAUGCAGCCAUGCCGCGUGUAUGAAGAAGGCCUUCGGGUUGUAAAGUACUUUCAGCGGGGAGGCGUUACCCGCAGAAGAAGCACCGGCUAACUCCGUGCCAGCAGCCGCGGUAAUUC
rnacentral:rRNA from 1 species